CCGCUUUCGGGCUGCUAGCUUUCCUGAGCAAAACCCUGUGCAUACAAUGUUCUCCUCGGUCCUCUGCUCACUCUUCUCUUAGGCUUCCCUUUAAGUUUCACCCAUUCACAUUUUCUCAGAGAAGUUUGAUUUUUCUUGUGUGUUUUUCUUGUGAUACCGCUGGCUGCCGACUCCAGCUAGAGAACAAGCAUCCCACAGCACCGUUUUCUCAUACAAAGGAUACUUAAGGCAGACUAGGGGUAGUAGGGGCAGAAGCCUGGCAAAGUCACAGUUUGAGCUGAGAGGCUGUCCGCAUAUAUCAUACUCAACUGUGAGCGGGGUCUGGUACUUCGAUCGCCUUUCCAGAUUAAUCCUCUGACAGCAGCGAAGGGCUGUGUGUGUGUGUGUGUGUGUGUGUGUGUGUGUGUGUGAAGGAGGGAAGGAGAAGUUCUAGCGACCUAGCAUUUGGCUACCCCAGACAGCAAGCAGGAGUGAGUCAGGUGGCAUUGCUGCCAGAGACCAGGCAGCGUCGCGGGCAUGGACGGCGCUUUUCCAAGGGUGAUUUGCACAAGACCAUGACGCUAAAGAGUAACAGACUCUAGAUUUCUAUUCAGGGUAUAUAACUCAUAAAUUCAGCUACAUGGUUACUUUAUAGUUAAUCUGAAUUCUUCUAUAUAUAAUAUGGAGCAGAGCAUUUAGUUUUAGGUGGAUAGUCCAAUAGGAAGUGAUCUGAAUAGAUUAGAAACAUUACUUACAGACCAAGGAGACUCUACUAGUUGAACUAAGCAAACCAGAAAGUUACCUAAGAAAUUGAGUCUGUUGAAAAGACUGACAGAAAUCCACAUCUGAAAAUAAUGAAAAUUUUCCCCCAUUUUCUUUUCUCCUGUAUUCUGUCUGAUGGUGGCACCAAUGAGCAACGGAAUAACCAAAAGGCACCUGGCAAAAAGCUCUAGGCAUUCUAACUCUAAAAGGACUGAUGAAGACGCUUUUCUGACUACAGACAGAAGGACUCCCCGUUACUGAAUGUUUUUAAUGUACCAUCUGCAUUAUAUAAAUUGUCCCAUUAAUCCUCCAAACCAUUCUAAGAGGACAGGUUUUGCCUUAAGUUAUCCAGAUGUUGUGUGGUGAGGUGAAGGAUUCCAACAGUUUUGUUCGUUGAGAAAAGCAGAAUCCUUUUUUUUUUUCAUUAACAAUGAGAAUGAAUUUUCCUAUUCCAUCAAGAUUUCUAUGUGGCCAUCUCUUCAGGACAUAGGUAUCAGCUACUGUUUUAAAUUUAGGAAAUGCACACACAUAUGCAACCAACCACAUAAUGUUUCCAAAGCAAUAUAUUGAGAUUGAUACAAAUACACAUUUUUCAAGAAUCCUGGACUAAUCCCACACUACUCUGAGCCGCCUUUACUUUUUAAGCCUCUUUAUUUCUAUUAUAUGACUGUGAACUAAGUAGAUUUAACUUUUGUAUGCUUUUAAAAUCAGUUAUAUUUUCUGAUAUGUGAUAACAAAUAUACUGUGUAUUUCAUUGAAACGUAUAGGAAAACUGCUCUUUUUUUCCUUUUAAAAUCAAUGCCUAUGGUAUAGUCAACAAAGUAUUUAAUGAGUGGCUAUUUUGAGCCAUUUUUAAUUGGCUGGACUACUGCAGACAUACCAUUUUAAAUGAUUACACAUAUGUCUAGAGAAUCAGCAUAGGAUUUUUGUUUUCCCUUUGAGAUUGAACAAUUUUUAUUUCAUCAUUACUAAAACUUAGCUGACAAUUUUUAUUUUUUCAUUACUAAAACUUAGCUGGAUGUCAGUUUCUGCCUUUAAAUAAAAUAUCCAAAUCCAGGAUUAUUCUCAAUUGCAAAAAUGCAGCUGGUCUCAACUAUUCCUUUUAUAUUUUCUUUCACAUAGGGUAGAAAAUGGUGAAUCAUUGUACUUUCAUAUAAUAAAAAGAUGUCUUGAAUUUUAAAUGUAAUUGUCCUUUCUUGAGUAACUUCUAAAUGAAGUGAAACCACAAAGGCAGUUUGGCACACUAUUGAUUCUAUCCUGGUUAUCUUUUUUGUCAGGCUAGAAUGUGAAGGGAAAGGGUUUGGAGCACAGAAUGGUUUUCCUUUUAAAGAAAAAAAAUUGAAUGAAAAAUUGGCAAUGAAAAUAAAAUACUGGACCUAGAUUCCCCAACUCUGUGAAUGUUGUUAUUAUUAGCCUCCACCUUCUCUAGCCCUGUUGCUGGAGCCAGACGCAC
rnacentral:lncRNA from 10 species